rnacentral:rRNA from 1 species
AACUUAAAGGAAUUGACGGAAGGGCACCACCAGGAGUGGAGCCUGCGGCUUAAUUUGACUCAACACGGGGAAACUCACCAGGUCCAGACACAAUAAGGAUUGACAGAUUGAGAGCUCUUUCUUGAUUUUGUGGGUGGUGGUGCAUGGCCGUUCUUAGUUGGUGGAGUGAUUUGUCUGCUUAAUUGCGAUAACGAACGAGACCUUAACCUACUAAAUAGUGGUGCUAGCAUUUGCUGGUUAUCCACUUCUUAGAGGGACUAUCGGUUUCAAGCCGAUGGAAGUUUGAGGCAAUAACAGGUCUGUGAUGCCCUUAGACGUUCUGGGCCGCACGCGCGCUACACUGACGGAGCCAGCGAGUCUAACCUUGGCCGAGAGGUCUUGGUAAUCUUGUGAAACUCCGUCGUGCUGGGGAUAGAGCAUUGUAAUUAUUGCUCUUCAACGAGGAAUUCCUAGUAAGCGCAAGUCAUCAGCUUGCGUUGAUUACGUCCCUGCCCUUUGUACACACCGCCCGUCGCUAGUACCGAUUGAAUGGCUUAGUGAGGCCUCAGGAUCUGCUUAGAGAAGGGGGCAACUCCAUCUCAGAGCGGAGAAUUUGGACAAACUUGGUCAUUUAGAGGAACUAAAAGUCGUAACAAGGUUUCCGUAGGUGAACCUGCGGA